rnacentral:lncRNA from 1 species
GGUGUACGGUCCAGAUGUGAUCACGUUUAUCAAGAAAUGAUCCUAACGGUCCUCAAAAACCUAUAUAUACCCAUUGAAUUUGGCUCUCAUUUGCACCAUUUCCUUCAAAUCUGCUAUGAUCUCUAAUUUUUGAGGGUCUUGAACUCUUUUUGAGAACCUCCUUCAGUUCAUAGGACCUCUUGUCCCUUGGAUGUGUACUACGCGUAAUAGGCUGGUCACUCCUUAAGCAUCCAUAGAAGUCUCGCAAGCUUAGGAUGCAUGAAGUCUGUUGAAAUGAAGUUUCCUUUUUAUUUGAUUCUGCCUGUGGAUUCUAUUUCGACAUUUUGUGAUACUCGAAUAUUACAACAAUUUAAGUUGAAAUGAAUCUAUCUUUGCUUCCGCUGUGCAUUAUAAUUUGUGUUGUUUGACUAUGAU